AGAGUUUGAUCCUGGCUCAGGAUGAACGCUAGCGGCAGGCCUAAUACAUGCAAGACGAACGGUAAGUUGGUUAGCAAUAACCGACCUAGAGUGUCGUAAGGGUGCGUAACACGUAUGCAAUCUGCCCUCAACAGGAGGAUAGCUCGGGGAAACCCGGAUUAACACUGCAUAAAAUGUGGAGGUGGCAUCACUUUCACAUUAAAUCUACGGAGGUUGAGGAUGAGCAUGCGUCUGAUUAGCUAGUUGGUGGGGUAACGGCCCACCAAGGCGAUGAUCAGUAGGGGAACUGAGAGGUUUAUCCCCCACACUGGCACUGAGAUACGGGCCAGACUCCUACGGGAGGCAGCAGUAGGGAAUAUUGGUCAAUGGGUGAGAGCCUGAACCAGCCAUGCCGCGUGCAGGAAGACGGCCUUCUGGGUUGUAAACUGCUUUUGCCAGGGGAUAAAAUUUC
rnacentral:rRNA from 1 species